rnacentral:rRNA from 1 species
UUUGGUGGCGAUAGCGAAGAGGUCACACCUGUUCCCAUUCCGAACACGGCAGUUAAGCUCUUCAGCGCCGAUGGUAGUUGGGGGUUUCCGUGAGAGCAGGGGACGUCAGUU